AAAAGGGGUUAAAGCCAUUUAGUAGAUAUUCCCCUUCCAGAUAUACAGGCAGCUACCAAAGACACCAAUCCACCGAACAGGAAACCAUAUGAAUGCCGUAAACAGCCGAAUAGGAAAAACCAUACGAAUAGGUUUACACUCCUAGCAGUCGAACUGGAACAGCAUACUAUAAAUCCCCCCAAGAACGAGACAAGGCUCCGUUUUGUGGGUCAAGCAGGAACAGACAGAGCUGUGUUUUUAUUGUUCUUAUAUAUACAUUCUUACACAUUAGUACCAUCCACAGGGUUUUGUGGCACAUCCAAU